rnacentral:rRNA from 1 species
AACGAACGCUGGCGGCAGGCCUAUACACAUGCAAGUCGAGCGCGCCUUCGGGUGAGCGGCGGACGGGUUAGUAACGCGUGGGAACGUGCCCUUCUCUACGGAAUAGCCUCUGGAAACGGAGAGUAAUACCGUAUACGCCCUUUGGGGGAAAGAUUUAUCGGAGAAGGAUCGGCCCGCGUUAGAUUAGGUAGUUGGUGGGGUAACGGCCUACCAAGCCUACGAUCUAUAGCUGGUUUUAGAGGAUGAUCAGCAACACUGGGACUGAGACACGGCCCAGACUCCUACGGGAGGCAGCAGUGGGGAAUCUUAGACAAUGGGGGCAACCCUGAUCUAGCCAUGCCGCGUGAGUGAUGAAGGCCUUAGGGUCGUAAAGCUCUUUCGCCUGUGAUGAUAAUGACAGUAGCAGGUAAAGAAACCCCGGCUAACUCCGUG